UCAAAGACUAUGCGUAGAAGAGUAGUCACUGGCCAGAUUCUCAGGGAGCCUCAGUAAGUGCGACGAGGUAAUCGACCCAGCGAUGAAAGUAAUCUACAAGUCGUGACCGCGACGUUUAACGAAGUGGUCACUGGGAAUGCGCCCAUUACAGCAAUGAAGUAUCGUGGACCGACCGCGCAUCGGUUUGCUGUACUUUCGAAGUCAGCCAUCGUGAGGUGGUUGAAAAUUAAGGUGGUAACACGUCGAUAACACGUCCUUAGC
rnacentral:ncRNA from 1 species